GGGUUGUGAGGUUAAGCGACUAAGCGUACACGGUGGAUGCCCUGGCAGUCAGAGGCGAUGAAGGACGUGCUAAUCUGCGAUAAGCGUCGGUAAGGUGAUAUGAACCGUUAUAACCGGCGAUUUCCGAAUGGGGAAACCCAGUGUGAUUCGUCACACUAUCAUUAACUGAAUCCAUAGGUUAAUGAGGCGAACCGGGGGAACUGAAACAUCUAAGUACCCCGAGGAAAAGAAAUCAACCGAGAUUCCCCCAGUAGCGGCGAGCGAACGGGGAGCAGCCCAGAGCCUGAAUCAGUGUGUGUGUUAGUGGAAGCGUCUGGAAAGGCGCGCGAUACAGGGUGACAGCCCCGUACACAAAAAUGCACAUGCUGUGAGCUCGAUGAGUAGGGCGGGACACGUGGUAUCCUGUCUGAAUAUGGGGGGACCAUCCUCCAAGGCUAAAUACUCCUGACUGACCGAUAGUGAACCAGUACCGUGAGGGAAAGGCGAAAAGAACCCCGGCGAGGGGAGUGAAAAAGAACCUGAAACCGUGUACGUACAAGCAGUGGGAGCACGCUUCGGCGUGUGACUGCGUACCUUUUGUAUAAUGGGUCAGCGACUUAUAUUCUGUAGCAAGGUUAACCGAAUAGGGGAGCCGAAGGGAAACCGAGUCUUAACUGGGCGUUAAGUUGCAGGGUAUAGACCCGAAACCCGGUGAUCUAGCCAUGGGCAGGUUGAAGGUUGGGUAACACUAACUGGAGGACCGAACCGACUAAUGUUGAAAAAUUAGCGGAUGACUUGUGGCUGGGGGUGAAAGGCCAAUCAAACCGGGAGAUAGCUGGUUCUCCCCGAAAGCUAUUUAGGUAGCGCCUCGUGAAUUCAUCUCCGGGGGUAGAGCACUGUUUCGGCAAGGGGGUCAUCCCGACUUACCAACCCGAUGCAAACUGCGAAUACCGGAGAAUGUUAUCACGGGAGACACACGGCGGGUGCUAACGUCCGUCGUGAAGAGGGAAACAACCCAGACCGCCAGCUAAGGUCCCAAAGUCAUGGUUAAGUGGGAAACGAUGUGGGAAGGCCCAGACAGCCAGGAUGUUGGCUUAGAAGCAGCCAUCAUUUAAAGAAAGCGUAAUAGCUCACUGGUCGAGUCGGCCUGCGCGGAAGAUGUAACGGGGCUAAACCAUGCACCGAAGCUGCGGCAGCGACGCUUAUGCGUUGUUGGGUAGGGGAGCGUUCUGUAAGCCUGCGAAGGUGUGCUGUGAGGCAUGCUGGAGGUAUCAGAAGUGCGAAUGCUGACAUAAGUAACGAUAAAGCGGGUGAAAAGCCCGCUCGCCGGAAGACCAAGGGUUCCUGUCCAACGUUAAUCGGGGCAGGGUGAGUCGACCCCUAAGGCGAGGCCGAAAGGCGUAGUCGAUGGGAAACAGGUUAAUAUUCCUGUACUUGGUGUUACUGCGAAGGGGGGACGGAGAAGGCUAUGUUGGCCGGGCGACGGUUGUCCCGGUUUAAGCGUGUAGGCUGGUUUUCCAGGCAAAUCCGGAAAAUCAAGGCUGAGGCGUGAUGACGAGGCACUACGGUGCUGAAGCAACAAAUGCCCUGCUUCCAGGAAAAGCCUCUAAGCAUCAGGUAACAUCAAAUCGUACCCCAAACCGACACAGGUGGUCAGGUAGAGAAUACCAAGGCGCUUGAGAGAACUCGGGUGAAGGAACUAGGCAAAAUGGUGCCGUAACUUCGGGAGAAGGCACGCUGAUAUGUAGGUGAAGUCCCUCGCGGAUGGAGCUGAAAUCAGUCGAAGAUACCAGCUGGCUGCAACUGUUUAUUAAAAACACAGCACUGUGCAAACACGAAAGUGGACGUAUACGGUGUGACGCCUGCCCGGUGCCGGAAGGUUAAUUGAUGGGGUCAGCGCAAGCGAAGCUCUUGAUCGAAGCCCCGGUAAACGGCGGCCGUAACUAUAACGGUCCUAAGGUAGCGAAAUUCCUUGUCGGGUAAGUUCCGACCUGCACGAAUGGCGUAAUGAUGGCCAGGCUGUCUCCACCCGAGACUCAGUGAAAUUGAACUCGCUGUGAAGAUGCAGUGUACCCGCGGCAAGACGGAAAGACCCCGUGAACCUUUACUAUAGCUUGACACUGAACAUUGAGCCUUGAUGUGUAGGAUAGGUGGGAGGCUUUGAAGUGUGGACGCCAGUCUGCAUGGAGCCGACCUUGAAAUACCACCCUUUAAUGUUUGAUGUUCUAACGUUGACCCGUGAUCCGGGUUGCGGACAGUGUCUGGUGGGUAGUUUGACUGGGGCGGUCUCCUCCUAAAGAGUAACGGAGGAGCACGAAGGUUGGCUAAUCCUGGUCGGACAUCAGGAGGUUAGUGCAAUGGCAUAAGCCAGCUUGACUGCGAGCGUGACGGCGCGAGCAGGUGCGAAAGCAGGUCAUAGUGAUCCGGUGGUUCUGAAUGGAAGGGCCAUCGCUCAACGGAUAAAAGGUACUCCGGGGAUAACAGGCUGAUACCGCCCAAGAGUUCAUAUCGACGGCGGUGUUUGGCACCUCGAUGUCGGCUCAUCACAUCCUGGGGCUGAAGUAGGUCCCAAGGGUAUGGCUGUUCGCCAUUUAAAGUGGUACGCGAGCUGGGUUUAGAACGUCGUGAGACAGUUCGGUCCCUAUCUGCCGUGGGCGCUGGAGAACUGAGGGGGGCUGCUCCUAGUACGAGAGGACCGGAGUGGACGCAUCACUGGUGUUCGGGUUGUCAUGCCAAUGGCACUGCCCGGUAGCUAAAUGCGGAAGAGAUAAGUGCUGAAAGCAUCUAAGCACGAAACUUGCCCCGAGAUGAGUUCUCCCUGACUCCUUGAGAGUCCUGAAGGAACGUUGAAGACGACGACGUUGAUAGGCCGGGUGUGUAAGCGCAGCGAUGCGUUGAGCUAACCGGUACUAAUGAACCGUGAGGCUUAACCUUACAACGCCGAAGGUGUUU
rnacentral:rRNA from 1 species